CUUGGUAUAACUUUCUUAAAGGGACACUAUAGGCACCCAGACCACUUUGGCCCAUUAAAGUGGUCUGGGUGCCGUGUCCCUAUCCAUCUUUGUCCUGCAAUAUAAAGCAUUGCAGCUUUUGAGAAACUGCCAUGUUUACAUUGCAGGAUUAAGCCAGCCACUAGCGGCAUUUCAGGGAGUUUACCGGACUCUGGGUACCUUAAAUGACGCUUGGACAUCCUCACGCUCUGCAUGAGGACAUCCAGUCAGUAAAAUCCCCAUAGGAAAGUAUUGAUCAGAUGACGUGGGAGGAGGAGGAAUGCCAAUCCAGCGCCGAGGGAGGUGGGCGCAGAAAUCAGGUGUGUAAAUCAAGUUUUUUUUAACCCUUUAUGUGCUGGGGGACCGCAAUGGAGGGGUGGAUCAGGGGUGCCAUAGUGCUACAAAUACAACUUUGUUUUCCUAACACUAUAGUAUGCCGUAGUUCUGCCUUGAGUGAUCCAUGACAAAUUGCCUGUGAUAUUUCCGAAAACCAGCAGCCUGGGAAAAUUAUUCAUAUUGUAUCCUGUGCUUUGGAUCAUGGCAAUUGUAUAGUUUUGGUUGUAGCAGGUCUGGUCAGUAAACUUCAAAAUGUUACCAUCCAAAAUGCACAUUUUUGCUCAAACUAGCUGAUCUGAAAAAAAAAUUCAAAGUCAUCUCUAGUUACCACUUGGAUAUUUUAGCAUGCAUUUUACAAUUCAGAUUUAAUUAGCUAACAUUUAAUGUUGUAAAUAACCUUGAAUCAUAUAUAUGCAGCGUCUUGAAAUGGUGUGUGUAAUGUUCAGGAACGUACAGAUUCACGGUAGAUUAUUUUCUUUGAAUAUAUAUAGUGUGUUUAGAAGAAUAGCAAAUAAAAAUGAGGUACCUACAUUAUUUUAACAUGUAAAUGAUCCUUUUUACUUUCUUUCUGGAAUGUACAACCUGGCUUUAUUUUCUUCUCCUGACAUAAUGCAGCAAGAAAUAAUACAGAACUGAACACUUCCAAGAAAAGAAGUUUGGAAGAAUUGGCAGUAAAUCUUUGUGUUAACACGGCC